rnacentral:rRNA from 1 species
CACGUAGGGGGCAAGCGUUGUCCGGACUUAUUGGGCGUAAAGAGCUCGUAGGCUGUUCGAUAAGUCGGGUGUGAAACCUCCAGGCUCAACCUGGAGACGCCACCCGAUACUGUCAUGACUAGAGUCCGGUAGGGGAGCGUGGAAUUCCUGGUGUAGCGGUGAAAUGCGCAGAUAUCAGGAGGAACACCAGCGGCGAAGGCGGCGCUCUGGGCCGGUACUGACGCUGAGGAGCGAAAGCGUGGGUAGCAAACAGG